rnacentral:tRNA from 1 species
AUGUAGCUUAGUGGCAGAGCACCUGCCUGGCAAGCACAAGUCCCUGAGUUUGAUUCCCAGUAU